AGAGACAAAAUCGCAGCUCAGAUUACAGCAAUGCCCUUGAGCCCCUAAAGAUAGUGUCCUGCGCAGUACCCUCCUUAAGGUCAUGGACAUCUUUGAAGCUUAGCAGAGUGCCAGGCCAUGGUGUUUCAGAUAUGGCUGCCGAGCCAAGCCAAAUUAAUUUGGAACGUUUCUAAACAUAAUGAACAACACUGAACAUGAAUCAUUUCUGGGUUUGCUUUCCAUACAAUGGGUCCUAGCUCAAUUCCUUGUUCAAUAAACAGAUUUGGAAAAAAGUGGGUCAGAGACCCAGCUUAUGAAACAACUUCUAUCUGAGGAUUACAGAGCAGCAUUUCAUCUUAACAUGCUUGAGAAGAAACUGCUUUUAUUUCAACGUUGCCUUCAUCAGAGAUACCCCACCACCACAGAAACUGCCAAUACCCAUGCAGGUGCCCCCUUGGACCCUGGGCAUUUGCAGAACCUGACCAGCAAUGGGAGUGGGGCCAGAAACCUGCAGCUACAGAUAAUGAGAAUAUGAAAGAUGAGAUGCUUGGAGUACCAGUCAACCUGAAGUAUGAGAUGGGCUGAAACAAAUUUCUUUCCACCCAGGGAAACCCUCCCGUUGACCAGAAGAAGAAGGCAGGGGAAAAGACGAAAUGAGUUAUGACUGCGGCCUACCUCACCAAAUGCCUUUGGCCCGUGUAGAUUUCUCCUAAUAGCCUUGGAACAUCAGACGUGUAGAAGGAAAAGGAAACACACCAGCCUUGCGAUUUUUGAGUGGCUGUUCUCCUUCUGAGUAGCAGUUUUAGACUGUCUUCUCUUGAGGACACAGAAUCGACUUUCCAUUUUUGUGAUUUCUACUCAAAUCGUCUAAUAUUUUGCACCUAGCUUGUGCUCAGUAAAAAUGUUGGACCAACAA